AACCAUGCUAUGAUGAAUGGGUAAAGUUCUGAUAUGUUAAUACUUGUUUAUCUUUUCUAUUGAUACACACUUCAAUUACACAUCAUUUUCUAUUACAAACAAAUAAACACAGUCGAUGUGUAAUAUGGAGGUAUACGUUUAUGAAUAACGGUACAGUAAAAUGGUUUAAUGCAGAUAAAGGUUUUGGAUUUAUUACAGGUGAAGACGGCAAUGAUGUAUUUGCUCACUUCUCAGCUAUCCAAGGCGAAGGCUUCAAAACUUUAGAAGAAGGUCAAGCAGUGACUUUCGACGUUGAAGAAGGCCAACGUGGCUUACAAGCAACAAACAUCGUUAAAGGUUAGUUGACGUUAACAAGCGAGAAUCCAUUGGGUUCUCGCUUUUU
rnacentral:sRNA from 1 species